AAAUUAAUGAAACUUAAAAAUAUACAUUAAAUAAUAUAAUAAAUAAUAUGAAAGUCAAAUUUUUAAAAUUUAAGUGAUGUAUAUAUGGUAAAAUUAAAUAUUUUCUAAUUUUAUAAAUAAAAAUAUACAAAAAUCUAAAAUAUGAAUUUUUUUUUGUAAAUUGAUAGCUCUAAAAAUUAUUAAAAGACCAUAGUCCCAACAUUAUUAAUUAUAGAAGUUUUACUAUAUAUAUAUAUAUGUGUAAAUAUAUAUACUAUAGAGAAUCAAUAUUAAUAAAACAUUAUCACUCCUAUUAUUUGCCCCUACUACAUGCAUUAUUACUUUUUUGCCAUUAGACUUACCUUUAAAUAUACUAACUGCCGUUCUUUACAUAUAACUAACUAUUAAUAAUAUUGAUAUUUUGUAACCUUCCUUUUUAUUCCAGUAUUCUCACACCCACUUCUCUCU
rnacentral:lncRNA from 1 species